rnacentral:rRNA from 1 species
CCCAGACUCCUACGGGAGGCAGCAGUGGGGGAUAUUGCACAAUGGGGGGAACCCUGAUGCAGCGACGCCGCGUGGGUGAAGAAGCGCCUCGGCGCGUAAAGCCCUGUCAGCAGGGAAGAAAAUGACGGUACCUGAAGAAGAAGCCCCGGCUAACUACGUGCCAGCAGCCGCGGCAAUACGUAGGGGGCAAGCGUUAUCCGGAUUUACUGGGUGUAGAGGGGGCGCAGACGGCGAUGCAAGCCAGGAGUGAAAGCCCGGGGCCCAACCCCGGGACUGCUCUUGGAACUGCGUGGCUGGAGUGCAGGAGGGGCAGGCGGAAUUCCUGGUGUAGCGGUGAAAUGCGUAGAUAUCAGGAGGAACACCGGUGGCGAAGGCGGCCUGCUGGACUGCAACUGACGUUGAGGCCCGAAAGCGUGGGGAGCAAACAGGAUUAGAUACCCUCGUAC